GCUGUACAAAAACCUGCAGCACACAUCUUUCCUGGGCUGAGGGAGCCAAACAAAGUAUUUUAUGUUGUCGUUUGUGGGAUCGCUUCUCCAAAGGUGUUGGCUUGUAGUUUGAUUAUAAAAGAAUUCUGUGAAGGCAAGGCUAGGUGGAAUUGAAACAGAGCUCAUGCCAGCGUCCGAUCCAAAAGCGUCCACUUUCUGGUAUUCUCAAAUCUAUGGCAAAAGCAAAACCAAAACGCUUCGCCCUCUGCCCUAUCAGAAAUCCUAUCAAGCCUUCAAUCUUAGAAAAUCUACCAAAUACCACCUCCCCUUCUCUUCUUGUGAGAGCGUUUUCAGAGUCCCUUCUCCAGUACACACCCGCUUCUUCUAUUUGGUCACUUUGGUAAAUUAUCCAACAGAUUAAAUGAGGAGUUGACCUGCUCAUCUCCCUUAACUCAUCUAACUUGGCUCCCCAAUGGUCUCUGUCCUUCUACAGAAACAUAAACAUUUAGGCAUCUUCCACCAUUUGGCGUGGGGGUCAAACUCAGGGUUAGUACUUUAUGCUGUCCUUGUCGUCUGGUAACCUUUAACACACCCACAGCUGAAAAUCGACUGCGGAACCCUUCGAGCUGUGAGCCCACUCCAUCUACAUUUCUUAACUCACACAAGGAGAAACAAUUAGUCAUUGGUAAAUCUAAACUAAAUAAAAUCAAAGAUCGGAAUGUGUUGCCAUCCAGAUACCUCAAUAUCAUACACAAUUAUAUUAAACUUUUAAAUAUGUUGCUGAGAAAUUUUGAUAGGAAACAUUAAAUACAAUAAAGUUUAUUUGUUGAUUAAAGGCCCAAAGACAGCAAAACAAUGUGGUCACUGAAAUAAAACUAUUACAAAAUUAAACAUUUAUACAAAUUAAGAUGCAAUAAUGUAUCUAAAUUUUGUGGAAUCUGAAUGAGUCAUAAUUUAAAGGAGAAAAAUAAUGCUUCUUUUAUAAAAUUACUCGAGGGCAGUCAAUUCUCUCAAAUGUUAUUUAAAUAUUCUCUUUGUGUCAGUGUGUGUCUUACUUGUGUCUCAAAAUGAAUGUUCACAGCACAACUCCAAGCUGUGACUCCUUGUCACAGGACAGUUGAUCCUUCUUUUAUAUCCUGUCAGUGUCCUUCUCUAUGCAAAGUGAACUUCCUCACAGUCUGCUAUAAAGACUUGAUAUCAUGCUGUCAGCUGCAGCAGAAGAAGAGAAGUUCCCAUCAGAUCACCUUUAAUACCAACCAUGUUCUCUGUAGCUCUGCUGCUGCUGCUGGCUGCUGGAUCCUGUGUGAAGUGUGAACAGUUGACACAGCCAGCCUCUGUGACUGUGCAGCCAGGUCAACGUCUGACCAUCACCUGUCAGGUCUCUUAUUCUGUUAGCAGCUAUGCUACAGCUUGGAUCAGACAGCCUGCAGGGAAAGGAUUGGAGUGGAUUAUAUUUGGAGGUGGUGGAUACAGCACACGCACCAAAGAUUCCCUCAAGAACAACGUCUCUGACAGAUAUCCAAAGAACAGCUGCUUGUGGGUGAAAAGGAACAAUUUCAUGACAUCUGUCUUCAUCUACCUCCAGACAUCCUUAUGGCAUUUUACAUGACUGUUUGUUUUACAAUGAUGGAAAUUAAGAUUUUGAACCAGAGUCAGAUGUCUGUAGACUUCCAUAAGGUGUUUGGGCUGGAAGCUUUCCUUGCACCUUCACAGACGUCCAAAAAGUAGAGGAUGACAGAGAACAGUGGACACACAGUUUAACAUGAUGGACUAUAGGACAG